rnacentral:RNase_P_RNA from 1 species
AAAGCAUAGUAAAUGCUCGCUUCUUUUUUAGAAGAGGAAAGUCCGAGCUGCUAAAGACAAACAUUCCAUCUAACAGAUGGCUAGGGCAACCUAAGGGACAGUGCAACAGAAAGAAAACUACCACAUUAAAGUGGAAAAGGUGAAACGGCGGAGUAAAAGCCCACCAGCGAUUUUGGUAACAAUUUCGGCUAUGUAAACCCAAUGUGCAG